UUUUUUUUCCUGGUGCUAGGGAUUGAACCCAGGGGCAUCUCGUGCAUGCUAAGCACACCACUGAGCUACACUCAUAAAUCCCGCCCCCUUCCCCUUUUUUUUUUGUACUGGGGAUUGAACUCAGGGACACUCAACCACUGAGCCACAUCCCCAGCCCUAUUGUAUAUUUUAUUUAGAGACAGGGUCUCACCAUUGCUGAGGCAGGCUUUGAACUCCCGAUUUUCCUGCCUCAGCCUCCCAAGCCACUGAGAUUACAGGUGUGCACCACCAUGCCUGGCUCCAAAUUAUUUUUGAUAUGUAAAAUAUUAGAAAAGCCUAUACACUGAUCAUUUUAUACUCUAUGUAUUAUUACAGAUGGAAAUAAUCUGUGAGUUAUAAUCUUAGACGUAGAUAUAAUCCUUGUUAUAUAUAUACUGAACUCAUGCAUAAUAACUUAAGAAGAAUUCACAUUUAACUUUUUAAUACUAGACUCAUUUGUGCUUAACUCUUCAUAUACUAUUAUAAACUCCCUGUAUCUGUGCAUGAUGUUAAUUUGAUUUUAUGAAUCAUUUUUAGUCUUUAAGCAAAUUUUUGUUUUAAAAAUUCAAACCAAUCAUAAAAUUGCUAUAAGGUAAAAUAUUUACUUUUCUAAAAACAACCAGUAUCCCUUAAAAAGGAUAAACUAAUAAAGGUACACAUAAUAAUAAUGUUUUCCAACCCAAUUUAUGCUUUAGUAAAUAAGGUGAUCCUUUUCAACCAGGGACAAAUGUUUACUUUUUAUAUAAAUUUUAAUGUAUAUAUUUAGUUGUCAAUGAGCUUUUAUUUAAUUAACUUAUUUAUUUAUACACACUUCUCAGGAUCCAACCAGGGCCUCACAUAUGCCAGGCAAGCGCUCUACCACUGAGUCACAAAUCCAGCCCUGUGAAUGUUUGCUUUUAAUUCCUUUCCUACAGUUUGUUAAACUAUUAUCACUGUCAUUAGAUUGUAAACUACUUAAGAGUUGGCACCACUUUUUUUUUCUGGUAUGGGGGCUGAAUUCAGGGGCACUCGAUUACUGAGUCACAUCCACAGCCCUUUUUGUAUUUUAUUUAGAGACAGAGUCUCACUGAGUUGCCUAGUGCCUUGCUUUUGCUGAGGCUGGCUUUGAACUCGUAAUCUUCCUGCCUCAGCCUCCCAAACCACUGGGAUUAUAGGCGUGCACCAGCAUGCCUGACACAAGUUGGCACUAUUUUAAAAAUUCACUUUGUAUUCCCUUCAUCUUUAGCAUAGGAUUAUACAUGUUGUAGGCACUUAAUAAAGAUUUGAAUGGAUAAAUGCAAUAUAUAAUUAUACUUACAAUUACUUGAAAAUGAGUACACAUGGGUUUUAAAAGUUCCUUACAUAUUGAGAACUUGUGAAACUCCCCAUAUUGUAAUAUUUGAAAUGUUACUUCUAAUUUUUCAAUGAAAGUAUGGGUUUUAAUCAUAAAAACUUAGCUUCAUGGCCAUUCUUUUAAAAUAGGGAGAGCAGGGCUGGGGUCAUAAUGCAGGGGUAGAGCUCUUGCCAAGCAUAUGUGAGGCACUGGGUUUAAUUCUUGGCACUGCAUAUAAAUAAAUAAAGAUCCAUUAAUAACUAAAAUAAUAUUUUUUUUAAAAAUGGGGAUAGCACCUAUCUUAGGUGUAUAGGAAGGAUUGGAUGAAAUCUUGUAUGAAAAAAUUUGUAAAACAUGGUAUUGAAAUGGUAGUGUCAGGACAGAAUAUUCCUGAGGAAACUUUUUUGUGGUGGUGCUUGGGCUCAAACCUAGGACCUCAUAAAUACUAAGCAUGCAUUUUACUACUGAGCUACACCCUCCAGCUCCUCCUUUCUUCUUCUUAUAAUUAGAAAAUAACCAUUGGGUUGCAGGCAUGAUCUUGAAAUAAGGUGUUCUCCAAGAAAGGGAUGUGACCCUUGUUUCAUUGUUUGGUCAUUAACUAUUUUCCCUUUCUUCCUUUCUGUUAUGUCUCUUUUUUGCUGGUGGUAGCACCAUGACCAGAAAAGAAAAAAAGAAAGAAAAGAAAACAAAAAAUCCUCUAUUUUCCAAACUUCCUUUAGUCAGUGGCCAUAUGGUACCACAUUGGCCAGAGAGAAGAGGAUUUUCAAGUCUUUCCCUUUAGAAGGUGCAGUGAAAAGGAAUUGUAUUCUGCCUCAGCCUGCCUUUCUCACAAGGAGGCUCUGAGCUAGUGUCUCCCAUUGCUCUCCUGUUUAGCUUUUCUUCUCUCCAUCCCCUCCAGUUUCUGAUCUUGGUCCAGUGAGUGAGAUGCCUCAGAAGGGUGCUCAGGCCUACUAUUAUCACUUCUGGAGCCAUAGAGUCUGAUGAUUUUUAAGGAAAGAGGAAAAGGAGAGUUUACAAGCAGCAAUCAUAUGGGAGGAGAAGCUUUUCUUAUUCAAAAUAAUAGUCUGUAUUUGUAUUGCUUUGUAUUUUUUUAAGGAAUUUCACAUUAUAUUAUUGGGGCUUCACAUACCAAUAAUUCGAGGCAGGUAGAGUAUUUUUUCCAUGUUGCUGAAAUGAAAUAACCCCAGCAAUAUCAUGUCACUAGUCAUGAUAAAAUAUGAAGAGUCCUCUGCAAAUUCAACUGCUCCACUCUAUAAUCAAAAAUCAGUCUAUUUUAAGUCUAUUGUAAGGAAAGUAGAAGGAGACACAGAGACAAGAUGCAGAGACAGGAAAGGGAAAGAAAGAGUGGCUGCCCCUCCAAGCAGCUGCAUUUAUUUAUAUCAAAAGUUAUAUAGCUCCAUAGUACCAUCUACAUUAUUAUUUAGUAUUUCUUUAAUCCUAAGUGCUUGAUAGCUGAGAUCAAAGUCCAGGCUAUUUAAGACACAGAGCCUUUUUCUCCAAGGAUAGAAAGUAGAUACUGCACCUGUGUAGUUAUCUUAACUAGCUUCAAGGAGAAACUGCUGGGCAUGGGAAACAGAGUGCUUGUUACCCACCCCACCUCCCACUCCCAGCUUGUUCACCAGAGGAACGCUUCCCUGUAUAUUUCCACCGUCAGAAUACCUACAAUCUAUGUUGACUCAGUAAAAAAAAAAAAAAAAAUGGUCACAGUUUAAAAGUUUAUUUAUAAUCCUUAGUAGAAGUACUCUGCAAUAGAAAGAAUUCCAGGGUUGGAGAUAGAGUGUUUGCUCAGUGGUAGAGCACUUACUUAGCAUGCCCUGGCUUCAAUCCCUAGCACUGAAGAAAAAAAUUUAUAAAGGCUUAUAACCUUGAAUCAAAUAGCAAACAUUAUGUAUUUUUUUAUAAAAUUCAAAAGCAAGCAACCUGGGAAUAUACUAUAGGUACUAGGGUUUUGUUUUGUUUUGUUUUGUUUUGCUGCUGUUGUUGUUUGUUUGUUUUUUCUUUUCCCUUUCUUGUGGUUGUCUAUAGGUACUAUUUUACAUCCUCAAUUUAGCUAGUUCUUGUGAGGUCCAAAAAUAUGUGAUGUUUUAGAAAAAAUAAUAUGAAAUAAGUCUCAGUAUCACAAUAUAGCAGUUUAAUCACUCUACGUAAAAAUUCUUUUUUACUCUUGAUUUUGAAAAAUUUCAGACCUACGCAAAAUUUGAAAGCACAUUCAUGUACCUUCACCUAGAUUCACCAGUUAUGUUGGCAAAUUUGCACUCCAUCUUUAAACACACUUUUGUUCCCUGAAUCAUUUGAAAGUAAUCACUGAAAGACAUGAGCACACCCAUGUAAUCCCAGUGAAGGGAGGCUGAGGCAGGAGAAUCACAAGUUCAGAGCCAGCCUCAGUAACUUAGCAAGGCCCUAAGCAACUUAGAUCCUGUCUCAAAUAAAAUAUAAAAAGGGCUGGUGUUGUCCUCAGUGGUUAAGCAUCACUGGAUUCAGUCCUGAUACAAAAAAAAAAAAAAAGUAAUAUGCAUCAUGCUAUGGUGAACAUUUACUCCUAAACAUUUCAGUAGUAAUAUCCUAAGAACUAGGACUUUUAUAGCCACAAUACCAUUAUAAUACCUAAGAAAUCAUACACACACACACACCUUUUUUGUGUGCUGGGGAGUAAAUCCAGGGUCUUGCACAUGCAAAGCAUAUGCUUUAUUACUGAGCCACUCUUCCAAGUAAGAAAUAUAAUAUUGAUGUAAUAAUUCUAAUAUAAAGUUCAUAUUCAAAUUUACCUUGUCCCAAAUAAUGUCUUUUAUAGUUGAUUUUUACCCAGUCCUGGAUCCAGUUAUCAAAUAUCAAAUUUAGUUAUUUAGUUAUAAUGUCUCUUUAAUUUCCUUUUAUCUGAACCUGCUGUCUUUUUUCUUCUUUCAUUGCAUUAUUACUUUGUAAGAGUCUAGGCCAGGCAUAUUGUAGCUUGAUGUGCAAUUUUGAUUUCUGUAAUUAUUUGAUUCUGGUUAAAAAUCAUGGGCAAGAAUAACACAACUAAUUUAUGUACUUUGUAAAAGUAUUAUAGGAGGAGGCAUGGAAUGUCAGUUUUUUGCCAUUAUGUUGAUAUUAAAUUUGAUCACUUGGUAAAGGCAGUAUCCAUGAAACAUUUGCAUCAUAAAAGCACCUAUAUCUUUUAUAGUAAGGUAAUCAUGUGGGAUGGGGAUGAUGCUUUGACACUGCAUGAAUAUGCUGCCCCCCCAACAAAUUUAUCACUCAAUAGCAUUAAUAUUUCUUGAUUGUCCUUACCUGAAAGUGUUGUUAUAUUAGGAGUUGCAAAAUGGCCAUUUUAAAGUUUCAUUAUUCAUUCUGUAUUAGCUGACAGUCUCUGUAAAGAAGUUUUCUGCUCUCUCUUAUAUGUAAAGUAAUCCUAUGAUUCAUGAAUUAUUCAUUUACUCAAUGUGUUACAAUGUAUGACCAUCAGUAAUUUUUUUUUUAACUGGAGAUUGAACCCAAGGCUUUGUGAAUACAAGGCAAGUGCUUUGCCACUGCCUUGUCUCAAACAAUGAAAAAGCUGUAUUGAUGUAGUAACUUAUGUAGUAAUAUAAAUAUAUGGUAUCUAACUGUGGAAGAAAGAGAUAAAUAUAUCUGCUUUACAUGUGUGAGGCACUGGGUUUGAUCCUCACCACCAUAUAAAAAUAAAUAGAUAUUGUGUGUCCAUCUACAACUAAAAAAAUAUUUAAAAAAAAGAAUUUAGAAACUUAAAAAAAUACUCCACAACCAGAGAAGUAAAAAAUUAUGUUCCAUUUGUGUACUAUGAAUCAAAGUGCAUUCUACUGUUAUGCAUAACUAAUUAGAACAAAUAAAUAAAUUUUAAAAAUACCGCAGAUACAAUAUGUAUACUGAAG
rnacentral:lncRNA from 1 species